GGACCAUUGCCUGUAUGGCAUGUAAUGACACUUCCAUAUGCACCGAUAACUAAUUAAGUGCAUGUAUCUAAUGUAAGAUGGAAGAAUUCAUCUAUCACGUUAACAAAUGUAAAUACGCUGUAUUAAUGCUGAGAUCAUGAAGACUUAGAGGAACUUGAUGUUUAUCUAUGUUUUUCCAGUUAUAGAAAGCAUUUUUUUUUUGAGGUGAGAAGAGACCAGUAUGAUUA
rnacentral:lncRNA from 1 species